rnacentral:piRNA from 1 species
UUCUUAUUAAACUACUUCUUGUACAUCAAC